rnacentral:lncRNA from 1 species
GCACAUUUCUCUCCUCCCCGGCCCACACGCACCUUUCCCGCCGCCGCCAAGGAAGGUGCACAUGGGGCGAGUAAAAGGCCAGCGUCUUUCCUCCCUCGCCCCGUGGGCAGCUUUCCUGCCGCUGCUGCCGAGGAAGACAGCGGGAAAGGUGUGUGCUGGUCAAGAGAGAGAAAGGCACACGCCUUUUCCUAGCCCCGUGGGCAGCUUGCUGCUGCCAAGGAAGAUGCACACAGGGCAAGAAAAAGGCCUGCGCCUUUCCUCCCUCGCCCCAUGGGCAGUUUUCCCGCUGCCGCUGCCGAGGAAGACGCACAUAGGGUGAGGAAAAGGCCUGCACCUUUCCUCCCUCGCCCCACGGGCAGCUUUCCCGCCGCCGCCAAGGAAGAUGCACAGGGGUGAGUAAAAGGCUUGGACCUUUCCUCCCUCGCCCCGUGGGCAGCUUUCCCACCGCUGCCACUAAGGAAGGCAGCGGGAAAGGUGCAUGCUGGGAGAGAGAGGAGAGAAAGGUGCAAGCCUUUUCCUCGCCCCGCGGGCAGCUUUCCCGCUGCUGCCGCCGAGGAAGAUACACACAGGGUAGAAGUGAACACACAGAACAAAGCUGAAAAAAAUCACAAUUUAAGAGUUCUACAUACUCCCCCUCCUGUCUUAUUGGAAACAGAAUACUGCCAUCACCUCUUGAGAAAGAAAUUACUACAUCAACAAGCUGAUACAGUUCAGACAUUACCCAUGUCUUGCCUCAAGAUUCGUUCUGUCCAUAUACUUCCACAAUGUUUAUUGCUGCACAUAAAUGAUCCAGGAGAAACUGAACAACACCUGAAUACUGAAGCAAUCAUACAUAUGAAUGAGCCAAUAAAAAUCUUCACUGUUUUUUACUUGCUUGUUGAGAUUGAUGGUUGUGCUAAAGAGAUGAUUCCACACCCCCAGCUCAGAAUUAUCCCAGAAUAUAGUUUCAAGACCUUACGGACUGAAAACAAAACUAAUAAA